CCACUCAAGAUCUCAAGGAUUGACUGCUUGACUGAAUGUUUUCCCAUCAGUAAGAAUUCACCAAGGUUUUCAGCAACGAAAAAUGGCACUCUGGCUAAACCUUCUGUCCUUGUUAGUUGUCCUCAGAGGUGUCCAAUCUGAGAUUCAGUUGGUGGAGUCUGGAGGGGAUGUAAGAAGACCUGGAGAGACCCUCCGUCUCUCCUGCCAAGCCUCUGGAUUCACCUUCAGCAGCUAUGAGAUGGUCUGGGUGAGACAGGCUCCAGGGAAAGGUCUGGAAUGGGUGGCUUAUAUAUGGUCUUCAGAUAUUUACUACUCUGACAAAGUGAAGGGACGCUUCACCAUCUCCAGGAAUGAUGCCAAAAGCCAGCUGUAUCUGCAAAUGAACAGCCUCAAACCAGAGGACACAGCCAUCUAUUACUGUGCGAGAGACACAAUGAGAGGAAGUAUAUGUGAAGCCAAGCAAAAACUGCCUAUUUCGUCCAGUGGUUCUGCAAAUUUCUUUUCUAAGAAAAAAACAGGUUCAUUAAUUCAGAUUCUCCCUUCAUGCCUUCAUUCUGUACACGAACCUUCAUCCAUUCAAUCUAUAGGAACAGACCUCUUUUUGUUCAUUUAG